CUUCCAUGCAGAUGAUGCCAAGCUUUCCUAAAAUUCAGUAAUGUUGUUUUCAGAAAGGUUAUGGAGCCACUGGCCAAUAAGAAGUAACAGAUUCCUGAAGACAACAACAUCGUAGCUUUACACUUAAGCAUUCUGAUGCAUGCACAACAUACACUGUCAGCAACUUCCCAAGUUACCAGAGGAGGAAGGUUGGAUUUUGGCUAGACAUUUAAGUCUUGAACAGAGACAGGCAACAGUGAUGCAAACCAAGUGCUUCUGAACAGAAAGCUGCCUACAUCUGUAUUCACUCUUACCCCCUUAUCCUGAUCACAAA